rnacentral:rRNA from 1 species
UUGACCUCAAAUCAGGUAGGACUACCCGUCUGAACUUAAG